rnacentral:rRNA from 1 species
AUUGAACGCUGGCGGCAGGCUUAACACAUGCAAGUCGAGCGGAGAUGAGGUGCUUGCACCUUAUCUUAGCGGCGGACGGGUGAGUAAUGCUUAGGAAUCUGCCUAUUAGUGGGGGACAACAUUCCGAAAGGAAUGCUAAUACCGCAUACGUCCUACGGGAGAAAGCAGGGGAUCUUCGGACCUUGCGCUAGUAGAUGAGCCUAAGUCGGAUUAGCUAGUUGGUGGGGUAAAGGCCUACCAAGGCGACGAUCUGUAGCGGGUCUGAGAGGAUGAUCCGCCACACUGGGACUGAGACACGGCCCAGACUCCUACGGGAGGCAGCAGUGGGGAAUAUUGGACAAUGGGGGGAACCCUGAUCCAACCAUGCCGCGUGUGUGAAGAAGGCCUUAUGGUUGUAAAGCACUUUAAGCGAGGAGGAGGCUACUGAGACUAAUACUCUUGGAUAGUGGACGUUACUCGCAGAAUAAGCACCGGCUAACUCUGUGCCAGCAGCCGCCGUAA